rnacentral:rRNA from 1 species
AGUGAACGCUGGCGGUAGGCCUAACACAUGCAAGUCGAACGAGUGGCGGACGGGUGAGGAAUACAUCGGCAUCUGCUCUGUCGUGGGGGAUAACGUAGGGAAACUUACGCUAAUACCGCAUACGAUUGAAUGAGCCGAUGUCGGAUUAGCUAGUUGGCGGGGUAAAGGCCCACCAAGGCGACGAUCCGUAGCUGGUCUGCGAGGAUGAUCAGGCCAAAUGGAACUGGGACACGGGCCAGACUCCUACGGGAGGCAGCAGUGGGGAAUAUUGGACAAUGGGCGAAAGCCUGAUCCAGCCAUGCCGCGUGGGUGAAGAAGGGCUUCGGAUUGUAAAGCACUUUAAGUUGGGAGGCGGUAACAACAGAAUAAGCACCGGCUAACUUCGUGCCAGACGCCGCGGUAAUAC